ACUGAUCAACAAUCAACGCAAACCAAAAGCAUUGACAAAAUGGAUAGUAAGGUGACACCAAAUCACCCACUGAUACGUGUUUCUUCUCAGGUUUGGUGGCAAUAGCGCGAGCAAAACACCCGAUCCCGUCCCGAUCUCGGAAGUUAAGUGCCGCAGCGGCAAUGGUACUGCGUCUCAAGACGUGGGAGAGUAGCUCACCGCCAAAC
rnacentral:rRNA from 1 species